CCUAGGCAGUAUCUCUGCACCAAAUGUGAUGGAGAUGUUCACCAUCAUCUACCUCUCCACAACAGGGACUCCAUGGUUUGUGGGUUUUACAAGCCAUUGAGUCCAACCACGGCAGUCAAGAGGGAUUCAGAGGCCUAUCAUUUUUCUGAGCAGGUCCGACUUCUCCCGGUACUUUUGCCCCAGAGCAUUUGCACUUGUCCAGCAAGUUCAUGCCGGUUGAUCAGUGGCAAGUCCAUUAUUCUGAUAGGAAUGAAUGGACGUUACAACCUCACCCUUCCAGAUAUGGAGUG